AUUGAACGCUGGCGGCAGGCCUAACACAUGCAAGUCGAGCGGAGCGGCGGACGGGGGAGUAAUGCCUAGGAAUCUGCCUGGUAGUGGGGGAUAACGUCCGGAAAUGGGCGCUAAUACCGCUUACUAUCAGAUUAGCCUAGGUCGGAUUAGCUAGGUGGUGGGGUAAAGGCCUACCAAGGCGACGAUCCGUAACUGGUCGUAGAGGAUGAUCAGUCACACUGGAACUGAGACACGGUCCAGACUCCUACGGGAGGCAGCAGUGGGGAAUAUUGGACAAUGGGCGAAAGCCUGAUCCAGCCAUGCCGCGUGUGUGAAGAAGGUCUUCGGAUUGUAAAGCACUUUAAGUUGGGAGGCGUUACCAACAGAAUAAGCACCGGCUAACUUCGUGCCAGCAGCCGCGGUAAUAC
rnacentral:rRNA from 1 species